rnacentral:lncRNA from 1 species
GCACUUUCCAUGAGCUCUAUAUAAACUGAUCUUUGCCUUCAUACUUGAACAUAAGAAAGAAACCAAUCCAAAGCCCACGUAUAAGUUCCUAGUUUUAAGCUUACUCCCCUCCUACUAACUCACCCUCAAAUGGCACCUCAUGCCAGCCGCCUUGCCGAUAUUGGAAGGGAGGGUUUCGAUCUAGUGGACAGAUUUUGUGGUGGAGGCACAUACAAUCAAGGAUCAAAGAAGCAAUACGAUGUCCCACAGAAAUAUGCUCCUGUUCUGAGCAACGAGAACGUAAUUGAUUGCAAGAAGGCUGCCAAAAAAUACGAAGGAGUGGUGAUCACGGAGUUCUACAAGAAGAAGUUUGUCAACCAGCGUUUUUAGGCUCUAGCGCUGUAAACUUGCGAUGGUUCUAGUAACAUCCUGUAAGGUAGAAGUAAACCGGCCAUACAAGUCUCUUGUUUUCGUCAUGUUGGUCGCUUCAAAUCUAGUACUGCUAUUAUGUGUACCUUUGUUUCCUGCUUUCUGAAGGUUAGUCGUAUACUUGGAUGUGUCUAAGCUAGUAAGUGGACCUCCUUUUAUACUAAA